rnacentral:tRNA from 1 species
AGGAAAAUAGUUUAAAAAAAACAUUUGAAUUGCAAUCAAAAAAUAUUAAUAUUUAAUCUUUCUU